rnacentral:lncRNA from 1 species
UGGGAAGGUGAAGAUUGAGGAUCCUUUUAAGUAGUUUUUGCUCAGCUAGCAAAACAAGCUGGGACAUGCAAGACAGAUAAACACAGCUGUUUGGGGCUGUCACUUGGGGCUCAGGAGCCAAGGUGUCCUGCUGUAGUGAAAAGUGCACCGGAAUGUGCCAGCCACCAUACUGUGAGGGAGCUGAAGUAAGCCCACAUGAGGAAGAAUUGAGGUCCCAAGCCAACAGCUGCAGCUAAGAUCCAAGCUCUCAACCAGUACCAGUUCAUCCGUUAUGCACACUAAGAUAUGGAAGCUAAAAGAGGACUAAGAGGAUUCUGGGGAUAUUACAAGAUAUUGCAGACUAUCUUGUUUUCCUGGAAAAGGAUUUUACCUCAGUCGACUGAAUUACUUUUUUCACUGUGUCUUGCCACUCUUCGUGCAUGCAUCAAAGACCCUAAUAUGACUUCUGGUGGCCUGGGACUCCUUGGGAAAACAGAAAAGGGGCCACAAAUCCCAUUUUGGGAACAAUCUGUUUUACUCAUGGAACCCCUGGAAUUAGAGGUGUGUAAGUACCUCUCAAAAUCUGUCUUUGUCUUCUGGCUAUGCUUUUUAUGAGGCCCUGGAAUUUGUAGUCCUAGCCCUGUUCUUAGAGUGUCUCACUAGGAGGCGUAAUAAUCCAAUUAGGAAACUAGCCAAUGAAAAAUCUCAUAACUACUGGAUCUUCUUCUGUUUAUCUGUGUGGUUACAUAUGUGUUAUGUGUGUAAUAUCUAUUAAAAAGGGCUCUAAUUAAUUGGCCUAAGAACAGUAAGCACUUAAAUAAAAUAUUUUUAAGGGAAAAGUAAAA